rnacentral:rRNA from 1 species
UACGUAGGGACCAAGCGUUGUUCGGAUUUACUGGGCGUAAAGGGCGCGUAGGCGGCGUGACAAGUCACUUGUGAAGUCUCUGGGCUUAACCCAGAACGGCCAAGUGAAACUGUCGUGCUAGAGUGCGGAAGGGGCAAUCGGAAUUCUCGGUGUAGCGGUGAAAUGCGUAGAUAUCGAGAGGAACACCUGAGGUGAAGACGGGUUGCUGGGCCGACACUGACGCUGAGUGCGCGAAAGCCAGGGGAGCAAACGGG